rnacentral:tRNA from 2 species
GGGGAUGUAGUUAAAAAUUUAACAUUUAAUUUGCAAUUAAAAGAUGCCUAAUAGCCUUCCUCA